CAUUGGAGGUUUGUUGCUAGGAGUAUUAUUUUUUCAUCCUCUGUUUCAUUGAUGGUUAAGUAGUCACAUUUUAUACAACUAAUUUUUUCUGUCAUUCUAGAAGCCUGCUGAAAACUCACAAGUGAUCAAAAAUGCUGAAAGGAAAAGGGUUAAGAAGGUUUGUGUGUCAGUAUGCUCUGUCAGCCGUUAGCCACAGAGAGUCACAGAAAUAUCACUUUGAAUAGUGGACAUUCAAAUAAUGCAACAAUUUCAUGGGAUUCAUUAACCACACUAAUCAAGACCUACCUGAAUAUCUCUCCCAUCCUGUCAAUAGAUCCUUCUUCAAUCAAGCCCAGCCCAAUGAUCGGCACAGCAAAUUGGCAGAGACGUAACACUACAGCAGUGAAUAGCACAGAUUUGACAGAAUGGGGACUAUUGUUUUAUGUCUUCCUGAGGAUACCACCACAAAAAUCUCUGUGCCUCCAACGCAGUCAGUUCUAUAUUUGCAGAUUUUAUACCAAGACAACUUAAGAACCUCUUAUUGUCCUGAGAGGUCUUUGGUUAAAGAAAAAUUGGAUCUAGAUUCAGUGUUUGAAAAAAAUUGAGUUUGGAUGAAUCUCAUGAUUGAUGUUGAGAAGUGAUGGUAAUUAGUAUUAACUGGUUUCUAAAGAAAAUGGUGCUGAGGAAGUCAUUGGUCAGUUAUGACUAGCAUCUUUUGCAUCUAUCAUUGGGUAUACAUUUGGAUUUCAGUUUCAUUAUGGAAUACAAUUAAAAUGCUAUUUUUCAUCCAGUUUAUACAAUGGAAGGGAUUCGAAUUAUUUUUAGCAACAUUUUAAUUGUAUUUCCUGCAAGGCAUAUAUGAAAUAUGUUAGGGGAAAAUAAUGUUAUCUCUUAUUUACUUGAUAAACUUACACUUUGGGAUAAUCUCAAUUUGAAAAUUUUAGGUAACUUUUGUUUGAGGCUUGGGCAAAUACAGGUAUAAAUGGUUUGGAUCAGCAUAUUGCUAUUUCAGUCUUCACAUUAUUUUAGUUACUGUAAAAGGAAUCUGUAUUGCCAAAAAUAAUAAAAGGCAGUGGUACACUCAGUGGUACACUUUUAAAUAACUCUGAUUUCAUUAUUUGGUCCAGAUGAAUUAUCUGCUUCUAAAACCCAUGGAGUAUUGUUGAUAUAAUAAAUAGCUAAAGAGAAUUGGUAAAGUAGAUAUUUAUUAUUUGAACAAAUUCUGAAAUAAAAUAUUGGAAUAAUACAUUGUAUAAGUAAUCAUUUUUAAUGAUUAAGAGUUCUAAGGAAUACAGAGUAUAAUCAGUUAAAAUUUUGUUCUUCCCAAAGACCAAACAAAAUAUGAAAUGUAUUUAUUAAAAUUAUUUAUUCUUCAAUACUGAAUAAACAGUGUGACCACCUGAUUAUAAUCUUAGAAAAGAAAUCUAUUAUUUCUUUGGGUAUAAGAUGUAAUUUUGUAUCAGUGUACCAGAGCGACUGAUCAGUAUU